CAGGCCUAACACAUGCAAGUCGAGCGGGGUGAUGUACCUUGCUACAUUACCUAGCGGCGGACGGGUGAGUAAUGCUUAGGAAUCUGCCUAUUAGUGGGGGACAACAUUCCGAAAGGAAUGCUAAUACCGCAUACGCCCUACGGGGGAAAGCAGGGGAUCUUCGGACCUUGCGCUAAUAGAUGAGCCUAAGUCAGAUUAGCUAGUUGGUGGGGUAAAGGCCUACCAAGGCGACGAUCUGUAGCGGGUCUGAGAGGAUGAUCCGCCACACUGGGACUGAGACACGGCCCAGACUCCUACGGGAGGCAGCAGUGGGGAAUAUUGGACAAUGGGCGAAAGCCUGAUCCAGCCAUGCCGCGUGUGUGAAGAAGGCCUUUUGGUUGUAAAGCACUUUAAGCGAGGAGGAGGCUACUUAGAUUAAUACUCUAGGAUAGUGGACGUUACUCGCAGAAUAAGCACCGGCUAACUCUGUGCCAGCAGCCGCGGUAAU
rnacentral:rRNA from 1 species